GAGAUUGCUUCCUUUCACUUCAUCUCUGCCAUAAUCUCAACGCAGGUGUCUUCUUGGCUCCUUUUUUCUCUUUUAUUUAUGCGUAUUUUUUUGGUUGAAAACAACUUAUCUAAUUGAGAAAAUAUCUGACAUCAAGACGUUUGGCUUUGUGGAUAUCCAUUGCAGCUCUACCCUAAACUCAGAUGCACUUAUGGAUGGAAAUGUCUACAAUGCACUGGAUAUAUUUUAAGGUUUAAAUUUUGCGGGUACCUCUAAGAUCACUUAUUUGGUUAUUUGGAUCAAUUACAUGUAGACAUCGCCCAUUUCUACUGCAUGACGACUAUUUUUUCUGCUGACCAACUUUUGUUGAUAUUUCUGAGAACACUUGAUGAAUAAUGAAACUUUAAAUUUGUGCCAAGCUUUUGUUCAUCCUUCAGUCAAGAUACAAGUUUGGAGGAAGAUGCAAGAGCUCAUUAUUAGUUUCCUACGAAUGUUAUGAAAAAAUUGAGACGAUAGUUUAUCUAAGGUGUUGGUUAUGCUCUUUUAUUAAGCAAACACUGAAACUAAAAUUAUUGGAUCAUA